UCCUCACUAUCGAUCAUCCCUCUCUCCCUCUUCUCACUUCCAACAAAAUCCCCAAAUAACUCAAAAUCCCUACUUCCCGUCGCUCAAUCUCCAAAACUUCGCCAGCCACCACUCCUUGAAUCAGUGACGUUGCUGUCACGGUGCAGUCGGCGUAGUCGACGCCGCUGCUGUCUCCCAGCCGUCACCGGGUCAGCCUUCGCCAGCCACCGCUGCCGCUGUCUUCUCGGCGGAAAUCGCCGCUGCUGUCGCCGGGAGGACGCUGCUGCUGUCGCCGAUUCGUCCAGCCGCUGCCUCCGUCAGACGCCGGAAGAGUUGCUGCUGUCGCUGCCUCCGUCACACAUAGCCGCUGCACAGAGCCGUCGGGGCUGUUCGCCGCUGCUCCGUUUGCCCAGAGCCGUCGGGGCCGUUCGCCGCUGCUCCGUCGGUGGUCGUGCAGCCCCGAAACAUCACCGUAGCCCCGAUUCGUCACGAAACCAACCCGAAAGAUAAGCUUCUUUACUCAAUUAUGUUCUUUCGUUUCAGUUUUCAAAACGCAGCAAGGGGUUUUCAAUUCGUGAUGUUCGAUCGGUGUUGAUUGUUGGAUUACGUUUAUUCGAGUUAUGCGUUCAAGUUCUUGAUUGGUUUAUGUGAUGAAAUGCUCGUGGACAAUACUAUAUGUUCAUGAAUUUGAGAAAGAAAGGAAGGAGUUUAUACCUUCUAUCAGCUUGAGGAUUGAAUGUAGAAGAUGGAGGAUGGAAGGUCACUUGAAAAUGGGGAGUCUCCAUGGAGUGGAGAAGUUGGCGUAGGGGAAGAGAGGAAAGGGUUUUGGGCUUGCACAAAAUUUUUCUAUGAAUAAAUUGGGCCCAACAUAUUAUUUGUGGAGUUGGGUUCAAGUUGGGAAAAUAUAAGAGAAUUCAAUGGCCCAACACUCUUUUAAAAUAUUUAAGGACAUUUGGACUUUGAUUUAUUUUAUUUGGGUCGGCCCAAGUUCUUAUAUU